UGGGGCGUAGCUCAGCUGGGAGAGCAUCUGCUUUGCAAGCAGGCGGUCAUCGGUUCGAUCCCGAUCGCUUCCACCA
rnacentral:tRNA from 1 species